rnacentral:rRNA from 1 species
GAUGAACGCUGGCGGCGUGCCUAAUACAUGCAAGUCGAGCGAACGGACGAGAAGCUUGCUUCUCUGAUGUUAGCGGCGGACGGGUGAGUAACACGUGGAUAACCUACCUAUAAGACUGGGAUAACUUCGGGAAACCGGAACUAAUACCGGAUGAUAUUUUGAACCGCAUGGUUCAAAAGUGAAAGACGGUCUUGCUGUCACUUAUAGAUGGAUCCGCGCUGCAUUUAGCUAGUUGGUAAGGUAACGGCUUACCAAGGCAACGAUGCAUAGCCGACCUGAGAGGGUGAUCGGCCACACUGGAACUGAGACACGGUCCAGACUCCUACGGGAGGCAGCAGUAGGGAAUCUUCCGCAAUGGGCGAAAGCCUGACGGAGCAACGCCGCGUGAGUGAUGAAGGUCUUCGGAUCGUAAAACUCUGUUAUUAGGGAAGAACAUAUGUGUAAGUAACUGUGCACAUCUUGACGGUACCUAAUCAGAAAGCCACGGCUAACUACGUG